GGACAUAGCUCAGUGGUACAGCGCUUGCCUAGUAUACAUAAGGCCCUGGGUUCAAUCCUCAGUACCG
rnacentral:tRNA from 1 species